rnacentral:rRNA from 1 species
UACGUAGGGCGCAAGCGUUGUCCGGAAUUAUUGGGCGUAAAGAGCUCGUAGGCGGCUUGUCACGUCGGGUGUGAAAGCCCGGGGCUUAACCCCGGGUCUGCAUUCGAUACGGGCUGGCUAGAGUGUGGUAGGGGAGAUCGGAAUUCCUGGUGUAGCGGUGAAAUGCGCAGAUAUCAGGAGGAACACCGGUGGCGAAGGCGGAUCUCUGGGCCAUUACUGACGCUGAGGAGCGAAAGUGUGGGGAGCGAACAGG